rnacentral:lncRNA from 1 species
UAGUCAAGUUUAAGGUCACUACGUGAUCUCCACAACCUUUUUAGAAUCCAAAAAUAUCUAGGUUUAAUUUAAAGGGGUAAUUCUUGUAUUCCCUUAGCAAUUUAAUCAGAAAAUCUACAUUGAUUUUCCUUCCAACAGAAUUUACUUCAAAUUCAAUGGGUUAGAACUGUUGAGCCAAUAUCACUAUGAGUAGGAAUUAACACUAUCAACCUCCAAAUUCUUUUUCACCAAAAUUCUUAAUGUCUAUGAUCAAUGCUACACAUAAUAACUCACAUAAGCAUCUCAAAAUCGAAAUUUCUACUCAAUUUUGUAUUUUACAAUGACAAAGAUUUCAAGUUAACACACCCAAUAAUCUCCAACAAUUAUAAGAAAAAUUCAGUAGCCCAAUCCAAAUAUGAGAAUUCAAAUAAUUAGAAUUCCUCCAUCAAUAUGCAUACUCUAUGGCCUCAAAAUAAUCAAAUACAUCAAUAGAAAAUAGACCUAUUUGCAAUAUCCAACAUGCCAAUAUCAGAUAUAAUCCACAUGCAUUUUCAACUUCGAAGAACGUUCCUUUCAAUAUUAUGAAAUCUUUUUAGCUCACUCCAAUACUAUGGAAGAUCU